rnacentral:rRNA from 1 species
UACGGAGGAUCCGAGCGUUGUCCGGAUUUAUUGGGCGUAAAGCGAGCGCAGGUGGUUUAUUAAGUCUGGUGUAAAAGGCAGUGGCUCAACCAUUGUAUGCAUUGGAAACUGGUAGACUUGAGUGCAGGAGAGGAGAGUGGAAUUCUAUGUGUAGCGGUGAAAUGCGUAGAUAUAUGGAGGAACACCGGUGGCGAAAGCGGCUCUCUGGCCUGUAACUGACACUGAGGCUCGAAAGCGUGGGGAGCAAACAGG